UGUAAUGACUGAAAUAAACUUUUUUCUAAAUUUUUAAUAUCAUAUAUGGAACGUGGAAUCUUAGAAUUUAAAACGUCAAUGAAUAAUAUUCCGAUUUACCAAGCCGUUUUUAUCUCCUUUGAAAGACACUUCAACUUUAGGUGUAUACUAAUCACGUAGUUUAGUAUGUGAACUCCUUUAAAUUACCAAUACAUCGAAUUUUCAAUAUUUUUAGCAAUAGGUCUCCAUUUACGAGUUGGUAGAUGACAUUUGAACUACCAAUUUUGUGAAUUUCUGAUUUUUAAGCAUUUAAAACGUUUCAAUUUCCCUGCAAUACAACUCCAUUUUCUCUUUCUUCGAGACAGAGAAUUGUUAAGUGACAUCUGAACUACUGCUUUGAAUUUUCUGAAUUUAUGAUCCAGUUCUUCAUAUAUAAGCAUUAAAAACGUUACAGUUUCCUUUGUACGCAUAAAAAGUUAUGGAAAAAUAUAUGUUGAAGGAUAAAUUAUCAAAUUUUACAAAUAAUUACACAAUAAUAUAAACUUUCAUAUAAGGUAAAAGUACCUACUUUUGUGUUUAUAUCAUUAUUUAUAAGUUUGUACUAAUAAGUAUUGCAAUUGCUGCAAUCUACAUUUUUUAACUAUUAUAUAUCGAAUGAAUGUUACGAUUUUAAAAAAUCAAUGAAUAAAUAUUUGUUUGUCAA